rnacentral:rRNA from 1 species
GACGAACGCUGGCGGCGUGCUUAACACAUGCAAGUCGAACGGUGAAAGCGGAGCUUGCUCUGCUGGAUCAGUGGCGAACGGGUGAGUAACACGUGAGCAACCUGCCCCGGACUCUGGGAUAACAGCUGGAAACAGCUGCUAAUACCGGAUACGAGCUGCGAAGGCAUCUUCAGCAGCUGGAAAGAACUUCGGUCCGGGAUGGGCUCGCGGCCUAUCAGCUAGUUGGUGAGGUAACGGCUCACCAAGGCGUCGACGGGUAGCCGGCCUGAGAGGGUGACCGGCCACACUGGGACUGAGACACGGCCCGGACUCCUACGGGAGGCAGCAGUGGGGAAUAUUGCACAAUGGGCGCAAGCCUGAUGCAGCAACGCCGCGUGAGGGACGACGGCCUUCGGGUUGUAAACCUCUUUUAGCAGGGAAGAAGCGAAAGUGACGGUACCUGCAGAAAAAGCACCGGCUAACUACGUGCCAGCCGCCGCAGUAACAC